rnacentral:rRNA from 1 species
GAUGAACGCUGGCGGCGUGCCUAAUACAUGCAAGUCGAGCGGACGGACGCGAAGCUUGCUUCUCUGAUGUUAGCGGCGGACGGGUGAGUAACACGUGGAUAACCUACCUAUCAGACUGGGAUCACUUCGGGAAACCGUAGCUAAUACCGUAUAAUAUUCUGAACCGCAUGGUUCAAAAGUGAAAGACGGUCUUGCUGUCACUUAUAGAUGGAUCCGCGCUGCAUUAGCUAGUUGGUAAGGUAACGGCUUACCAAGGCGACUAUGCAUAGCCGACCGGAUAGGGUGGUAGGCGACACUGGAACUGAAACACGGUCCAGACUCCUGCGGGAGGCAGCAGUAGGGAAUCUUCCGCAAUAGGCGAAAGCCUGACGGAGCAACGCCGCGUGAGUGAUGAAGGUCUUCGGAUCGUAAAGCUCUGUUAUUAGGGAAGAACAUAUGUGUAAGUAGCUGUGCACAGCUUGACGGUACCUGAUCAGAAAGCCACGGCUAACUACGUG